rnacentral:rRNA from 1 species
GAUGAACGCUAGCGGCAGGCUUAAUACAUGCAAGUCGAGGGGUAACAUGGUAGCAAUACUGAUGACGACCGGCAAACGGGUGCGGAACACGUACAGAACCUUCCUUUAAGCGGGGGAUAGCCCAUAGAAAUGUGGAUUAAUACCCCAUAGCAAUAUUUAAUGGCAUCAUUAGAUAUUUAAAGAUUUAUCACUUAAAGAUGGCUGUGCGGCUGAUUAGGUAGUUGGGCGGGUAACGGCCCACCAAGCCAUCGAUCAGUAACUGGUGUGAGAGCACGACCAGUCACACGGGCACUGAGACA